rnacentral:rRNA from 1 species
AAUCAACGCUGGCGGCGUGCCUCAGACAUGCAAGUCGAACGAUUAAGACUUCCUUCGGGAAGUGUAUAAAGUGGCGCACGGGUGAGUAACACGUAAGUAAUCUACCUUCGAGUGGGGAAUGACAUCGGGAAACCGAUGCUAAUACCGCAUAAUGCAGCGGCAUCGCAAGAUGACAGUUGUUAAAGGAGCAAUUCGCUUGAAGAGGAGCUUGCGGCAGAUUAGCUAGUUGGUAAGGUAAUGGCUUACCAAGGCUACGAUCUGUAUCCGGUCUAAGAGGACGGUCGGACACACUGACACUGAAUAACGGGUCAGACUCCUAUGGGAGGCAGCAGUCGGGAAUUUUGGGCAAUGGGCGAAAGCCUGACCCAGCAACGCCGCGUGAGGGAUGAAGUACUUCGGUAUGUAAACCUCGAAAGAAUGGGAAGAAUAAAUGACGGUACCAUUUAUAAGCUCCGGCUAUCUACGUGCCAGCCGCCGCGGUAACAC